GGUGAACGCUGGCGGCGUGCCUAACACAUGCAAGUCGAGCGGUGCAGUUUGAAGCUUCGGUGGAAAGCUGCAUAGCGGCGGACGGGUGAGGAAAACGUAGGAACGUGCCCCUUGGAGUUGGAUAGCCACGGGAAACUGUGGGUAAACCGACAUAGACUCGAGAGAGUAAAGGCCGAAAGGCGCCAAGGGAGCGGCCUGCGGCCCAUCAGGUAGUUGGUAGUGUAAAGGACUACCAAGCCGACGACGGGUAGCCGGUCUGAGAGGAUGGCCGGCCACAAGGGGCACUGAGAGACGGGCCCUACUCCUACGGGAGGCAGCAGUGGGGGAUUUUGGACAAUGGGCGAAAGCCUGAUCCAGCGACGCCGCGUGGAGGACGAAGCCCUUCGGGGUGUAAACUCCUUUUCUCAGGGAAAAAGGAUGAUGGUACCUGAGGAAUAAGCCCGGCUAACUACGUGCCAGCAGCCGCGGUAAAAUCCACGUGUA
rnacentral:rRNA from 1 species